UACGUAGGGGGCUAGCGUUGUCCGGAAUUAUUGGGCGUAAAGAGCUUGUAGGCGGUUUGUCGCGUCUGCUGUGAAAAUCCGGGGCUCAACCCCGGACUUGCAGUGGGUACGGGCAGACUAGAGUGUGGUAGGGGAGACUGGAAUUCCUGGUGUAGCGGUGGAAUGCGCAGAUAUCAGGAGGAACACCGAUGGCGAAGGCAGGUCUCUGGGCCACUACUGACGCUGAGAAGCGAAAGCAUGGGGAGCGAACAGG
rnacentral:rRNA from 1 species